rnacentral:rRNA from 1 species
CUUGAACGCUGGCGGCAGGCCUAACACAUGCAAGUCGAGCGAGCGGCGGACGGGUGAGUAAUGUCUGGGAAACUGCCUGAUGGAGGGGGAUAACUACUGGAAACGGUAGCUAAUACCGCAUACCAUCAGAUGUGCCCAGAUGGGAUUAGCUGGUAGGUGGGGUAACGGCGACCCUAGGCGACGAUCCCUAGCUGGUCUGAGAGGAUGACCAGCCACCAGGGAACGGAGACACGGUCCAGACUACUACGGUAGGUAGCAGUGGGGAAUAGUGAACAAUGGGCGCAAGCCUGAUGCAGCCAUGCCGCGUGUGUGAAGAAGGCCUUCGGGUUGUAAAGCACUUUCAGCGGGGAGGCGUUACCCGCAGAAGAAGCACCGGCUAACUCCGUGCCAGCAGCCGCGGUAAUUC